GGCUGAGAUAGUUGAUGUUGCUCUGG
rnacentral:piRNA from 1 species